AUACGGAGGGUGCAAGCGUUGUUCGGAAUCACUGGGCGUAAAGCGCGUGCAGGCGGCCCAUUAAGUCAGAUGUGAAAGCCCUCGGCUCAACCAAGGAACUGCAUCUGAAACUACUGGGCUUGAGUAUGGGAGAGGAGAGUGGAAUUCCCGGUGUAGAGGUGAAAUUCGUAGAUAUCGGGAAGAACACCGGUGGCGAAGGCGGCUCUCUGGACCGAUACUGACGCUGAGACGCGAAAGCGUGGGGAGCAAACAGGAUUAGAAACCCUAGUAGUCC
rnacentral:rRNA from 1 species